rnacentral:rRNA from 1 species
UACGAAGGGGGCUAGCGUUGCUCGGAAUCACUGGGCGUAAAGCGCACGUAGGCGGAUUGUUAAGUCAGGGGUGAAAUCCUGGAGCUCAACUCCAGAACUGCCUUUGAUACUGGCGAUCUUGAGUCCGGGAGAGGUGAGUGGAACUGCGAGUGUAGAGGUGAAAUUCGUAGAUAUUCGCAAGAACACCAGUGGCGAAGGCGGCUCACUGGCCCGGUACUGACGCUGAGGCGCGAAGG